rnacentral:sRNA from 1 species
GGGAUUGCCUCAGUAACGGCGAGUGAAGCGGCAACAGCUCAAAUUUGAAAGCUGGCUUCGGCCCGCGUUGUAAUUUGUAGAGGAUGCUUCGGGUGCGGCCCCGGUCUAAGUUCUUUGGAACAGGACGUCAUAGAGGGUGAGAAUCCCGUAUAUGGCUGGUGGCCUGUGCCUAUGUGAAGCUCCUUCGACGAGUCGAGUUGUUUGGGAAUGCAGCUCAAAAUGGGAGGUGUAUUUCUUCUAAAGCUAAAUAUUGGCCAGAGACCGAUAGCGCACAAGUAGAGUGAUCGAAAGAUGAAAAGCACUUUGGAAAGAGAGUUAAAUAGUACGUGAAAUUGUUGAAAGGGAAGCGCUUGCAAUCAGACUUGCGCGGCGUUGAUCAACCUGGGUUCUCCCGGGUGCACUCGGCGCCGCUCAGGCCAGCAUCAGUUUCGGCGGUGGGAUAAAGGCCUAGGGAACGUGAGUCGCUUCGGUGACUGUUAUAGCCCUGGGUGCCAUGCUGCCUGUCGGGACUGAGGACCGCGCUUCGGCUAGGAUGCUGGCGUAAUGGUUGUAAGCGACCCGU